UAAAUUUCCCACACAGGUGUCUCACUUCCUGAUUCCAGUCUGGCUGUGUGUAACCCUGACAAUUCACUCACUUCUCUAAGCUUUUGUUCUCAUCUGCAAGAACAGGACAUUGGUGGUACAUAGCCCUGGCACUCAGAUGUUGGACACUUAGGACUCUGAAAAUGGAAUUGUGGCUCUAGGAGGGGUGCUCUGUGCGUGCUUGGUGAAAAUGAAGAGUAUUCUCAGUGCCCAGGAUCUUCAACUGAGCUUCAUGAACCAGGUUUUAAAGUACAUGAGAAAGACCUUGCCAUGAAAAAAUACAAUUGCCAGUGUUUCCAUGGAAACUAGUGUACAAAAAGGCUGUUUGCCUGGAGAGUCUCAUGAUGGACGGUAUGGAAGGCUAUGGUGGUGGAGAACAUUGGAAGACUGUGGUGGUUUUCACAGAGAAACUACAACUGGAGUUGGGAACAUGCCCUCUGCCUAACUCCUAUGAACCAAGAUCCAACCAUCAGUUCUUGCUGGAAGUGAGGGAUGUGCCUUGGUGUGAAAUGUGGCCUUCUUGAGUGUCAGAGGAACAUGCAGUAGUGACUAGGGCUUUCAUCAUUGUCUCUGCUAUAGUGGAGACAGCAGUGACAGCCACGAUGACAAAGAAAGUCUCUCCAUGACUUGUGCACAGUAAGACUUCAGCAAAUGACAACUGCUCUUAUCAAAGUUUCCUUGUUAGUCAACAUUACCAACUGAUGGUCUCAUGCCCUUGCUUGCAUGACUGGUUGCAGGGAAUCCCAACCAGAAAUCACUGUCUUUGGAAUCAUGAUCUCAGGGCAACUGUCAGUAUCCUGGAGAGGCAGCUAAGAGUAGUUAAACUUUUGGUAAUUUGUGACUCUUGUAUUUAUUUUUGGCUUCUCAGAUGACUUAAGGCAACUAGCAAUUUCUGAGUAUUUUUAAUGGCGAUUUUUUAGGGGUAUGAAUAUAAUGGGAAACCUAGUUAUCUUGUGGGAGAAAUAUACUCAACUUAAACCUCUGAAUAUUUUUUCUGUGAGGAUUAUUUUUCAUCUCUUGAGUUCUCUGUUGCAACUAGUCUGGUGAAGUUUUAGACUACUGGAGUCAUCAUUCAUUCACUAAUUUAAAAAGUAUUCAUACGCUGUUAUGCUUCAGGUAGUUCUGGGGAAUGUAUCAAUGAACAAAAGAUACAAAAGUAUCCUUCGUCAUGGAUUAAUGUUGGGGUGUUGUCAGGGUGAGUGGGGAAUGGAAAUGCAAGUCAAACUAUGCUCCAUUAGAUUGCAUGAGUGUCAUCAAACAACAAAGCAAAUACCAUGGGCAAGAUCUGGUAGGUGUGUGAGAGAGAAGUCAGCUGUGGUGUUUGCUCUUUGGACUGUCAGUAUCCUUUCUUUUUGCAAAACACCAUUGUUUCUAUUAUGAACAUUGUGUGUCAGGAAAGGUACGUGCUUUAUACUUGAUGGAUUAAUAUUAAAAUAUUGAUUUUCUUUUUUUGAGACAGUGUCUUGCUAUGUCAUCUAGGCUGAACUCAAACUUUUACCUUUUUACCUCAGGAUCUAAGUCCUGCCAUUAUAGGUGUGCCUCACCUUACCCAGUGACACACUGGAGACAUUGAUAGUAACUAACUCAAAAAAGUAUUUAAGUUAGCUUUAAUAAUUUAAGUUAGACUUCACAUCCUUAUAGUUCUGUGGGUGAGCGGGGGCUUUAACACAGAUCAGUAACUGAUACCUCCUGCACUAACUUGGCAUCCUCUUGACACCCUUUUAUUUGCUUCUUCCUUAAGCUGGCCAUUCUCCUCCUGCUGUCCUAUCUGACAAGCAUGCUGGGCAAAGCCUAGGCAUGCUGGUUAGAGGAUGGUCCUAUAAGCUUAGCCUUCAAGGGUGUUACUCAUUUCACGAGGAAGUCCUUGCCCCAUGGAGUAUGGGUCUAUUGAGUAAGAUACCCUUCUCCUGUCCUCAGGUGACAGCUAGUUCUGCUGUAAGUUGUGCCUGGCAACUAGUGGUCUUAUUCUAGUUGCCUAGGCUUUUGUCUUUCUAUUGUCCCCUUAAGGUCACUAGGCUCAGUCCCAUUCUUUGUGAACUCUUAUCUAAAUAAAGUGUUUGUAAGCAAGCAA